AGUGAACGCUGGCGGCAUGCCUAACACAUGCAAGUCGAACGGCAGCACAGUAAGAGCUUGCUCUUACGGGUGGCGAGUGGCGGAAGGGUGAGGAAUACAUCGGAUUCUACUUUUUCGUGGGGGAUAACGUAGGGAAACUUACGCUAAUAACUCAUACGUCCUACGGGUGAAAGCAGGGGAUCUUCGGACCUUGCGCGAUCGAAUGAGCCGAUGUCGGAUUAGCUAGUUGGCGGGGUAAAGGCCCACCAAGGCGACGAUCCGUAGCUGGUCUGAGAGGAUGAUCAGCCACACUGGAACUGAGACACGGUCCAGACUCCUACGGGAGGCAGCAGUGGGGAAUAUUGGACAAUGGGCGCAAGCCUGAUCCAGCCAUACCGCGUGGGUGAAGAAGGCCUUCGGGUUGUAAAGCCCUUUUGUUGGGAGAGAAAAGCAGCAGGUUAAUACCCCGCUGUUCUGACGGUACCCAAAGAAUAAGCACCGGCUAACUUCGUG
rnacentral:rRNA from 1 species